AAUGGGUCAGCGACUUAUAUUCUGUAGCAAGGUUAACCGAAUAGGGGAGCCGAAGGGAAACCGAGUCUUAACUGGGCGUUAAGUUGCAGGGUAUAGACCCGAAACCCGGUGAUCUAGCCAUGGGCAGGUUGAAGGUUGGGUAACACUAACUGGAGGACCGAACCGACUAAUGUUGAAAAAUUAGCGGAUGACUUGUGGCUGGGGGUGAAAGGCCAAUCAAACCGGGAGAUAGCUGGUUCUCCCCGAAAGCUAUUUAGGUAGCGCCUCGUGAAUUCAUCUCCGGGGGUAGAGCACUGUUUCGGCAAGGGGGUCAUCCCGACUUACCAACCCGAUGCAAACUGCGAAUACCGGAGAAUGUUAUCACGGGAGACACACGGCGGGUGCUAACGUCCGUCGUGAAGAGGGAAACAACCCAGACCGCCAGCUAAGGUCCCAAAGUCAUGGUUAAGUGGGAAACGAUGUGGGAAGGCCCAGACAGCCAGGAUGUUGGCUUAGAAGCAGCCAUCAUUUAAAGAAAGCGUAAUAGCUCACUGGUCGAGUCGGCCUGCGCGGAAGAUGUAACGGGGCUAAACCAUGCACCGAAGCUGCGGCAGCGACACUAUG
rnacentral:rRNA from 1 species